UACGUAGGGUGCGAGCGUUAAUCGGAAUUACUGGGCGUAAAGCGUGCGCAGGCGGUUCUGAAAGUCAGCUGUGAAAGCCCCGGGCUUAACCUGGGAACUGCGUUUGAAACUACAAGGCUAGAGUGUGGCAGAGGGGGGUGGAAUUCCACGUGUAGCAGUGAAAUGCGUAGAGAUGUGGAGGAACACCGAUGGCGAAGGCAGCCCCCUGGGUUAACACUGACGCUCAGGCACGAAAGCGUGGGGAGCAAACAGG
rnacentral:rRNA from 1 species